rnacentral:lncRNA from 1 species
UACAAGAGGAAAACUCCGUCUCAAAAAAAAAAAAAAAAAAGAUUUUUAACUCAAGUGGCUCUCGGCAACAUUUCCCCAUUAUCAAAGAUUCAUGAAACUUUAGCUGCUGAUUCACCGCUCCUCGGUUCCGCCUGACGGCCUCCCCAAAAACAAGUAAGUCUGAAAUCUCAACCUUCUCAAGGUCCGAGGGAUCUACCUGGCCUUUGCCACUCUACUACCUGAGGCCGCCUGGCUGGGGGGAGGUCGCAUAUCAAUACAUAUCAACACAACCACUGACGUCCGAAGAUGUGAGCGCUACCCAAGCGUUAAAAAAACAAAACAAGCAAACAAACAAACAAAAAAACGUGCUGUGCUCAUUAGGAGCGUCUUCGCCUCUACCCUGAUGCGGAGUUGCUCCCAGGACGCUCAGUUCAUUCUCACUCUGGAAAACCUCAGGUGAGGUGGCCCGACUCUGAGCAACCCCGUGGGCGGGAGGAAAGAGGCAAAUACCAGGCACAGUUCGACCCUCGGAAGGUAAGGCCGGGGUCUGCGCCGGUCACGGGUCUUCCGCACUGCAGGCGGCGAGACCCGCAGCUCCCUGGGAUCACAGACUCUCCCGCCUCCGCUGACCGGUGCGCGCCCAGCGCCUCCCAGACGCACAGUGGGGUCGGCGGUGGCCUGAAGGUGGCUGGGCUUCCUGCGGCGCCUCUCCACUCUCCCGCGGAGCCCCUUGCCGCCCGCCAGACAUCAAGGUUGCAGGUGUCACCCGUACGAGAACCCGGGACAGCGACCGCCUGUCCUGAGCUGGGAUCCUUGAUGGACAGUGCCUAAGCAUGGAGGCAACUGCAGGUUUCUGGCCAGGGCCACUCUCUGGUGAAACUAAAAGGUCCAUGUGGAAGCACCUGACUGCCACCACCUGGUUCAGGAUCAAGUCUGUGAUACCUGAAGCCUCAGACCUGGAACCUGAAGUUUCCUUCAGCCACUACACCUGUGAACCUGUGGAAGACCUGAAGUGCCUGUUUAGAAGACAGCCAAAAGAUAAGUAAAUGCCUACCAACUUUCCUUGGUGUUUUUGUUGCAUAGUUAUUGUAGGUUGGAUAAUAAUAGCCAUAUUUUUAUAUAUUUGGCUGGAUAAUAAUAGCCAUAUUUUUAUAUAUUUUUGCAGUUUUUCUUUUUUCAAAUGUUUGGAAUCACUCCCUUUGUAGCAAUUAAGCAGAAUGUUUUAAUUUCUCCCUAUAACAAACAUUCCUGAUAGCAUAGGUAUCCACCCCCUGAAGUUCCCAUUAGAUCUUUUAACCAAAUUCAUUUCCUCUCACCUAGAGACCAUUGAGCUUCAUAUGAUCAUGCAACAACAUUGCCAGCCAGUUCCAAAUGAAGAUAGCACCCCCAGCGAUCAAUAAACUACCCUGCCUCCACUGGAUAGAGCAGGGAAAAAUUUCCAUGAUCAGCAAUAGGUAGGGAUUGCACCCCAAGUUAGCAUGAAGCAGCUACAGAAGAAAGACCAUCAAUCCCUCUGCUUCCCAUAAAGAUUUAUGGGAAUCACAUCUCUCAGGGGGAAUAUGAGGCAGGAAAAUAGGGUCUGGAAGCAGGGAACCUAAGGUUUAUUCAUGCUGACUGGAUAUCAGAGGCUACUCUCUUUACGACCUCUCCUUCUCUGUGGCAGUUGAAAAAUGAGACCAAUAUCCCUGAUGAACAUCAAUGCAAAAAUCCUCAAUAAAAUAUUGGCAAACAGAAUCCAGCAGCACAU